AUUGAACGCUGGCGGCAGGCCUAACACAUGCAAGUCGAGCGGAUGAAGGGAGCUUGCUCCUGGAUUCAGCGGCGGACGGGUAGUAAUGCCUAGGAAUCUGCCUGGUAGUGGGGGAUAACGUCCGGAAACGGGCGCUAAUACCGCAUACGUCCUGAGGGAGAAAGUGGGGGAUCUUCGGACCUCACGCUAUCAGAUGAGCCUAGGUCGGAUUAGCUAGUUGGUGGGGUAAAGGCCUACCAAGGCGACGAUCCGUAACUGGUCUGAGGGGAUGAUCAGUCACACUGGAACUGAGACACGGUCCAGACUCCUACGGGAGGCAGCAGUGGGGAAUAUUGGACAAUGGGCGAAAGCCUGAUCCAGCCAUGCCGCGUGUGUGAAGAAGGUCUUCGGAUUGUAAAGCACUUUAAGUUGGGAGGAAGGGCAGUAAGUUAAUACCUUGCUGUUUUGACGUUACCAACAGAAUAAGCACCGGCUAACUUCGUG
rnacentral:rRNA from 1 species